rnacentral:rRNA from 1 species
UUAAGCGACUAAGCGUACACGGUGGAUGCCCUGGCAGUCAGAGGCGAUGAAGGACGUGCUAAUCUGCGAUAAGCGUCGGUAAGGUGAUAUGAACCGUUAUAACCGGCGAUUUCCGAAUGGGGAAACCCAGUGUGUUUCGACACACUAUCAUUAACUGAAUCCAUAGGUUAAUGAGGCGAACCGGGGGAACUGAAACAUCUAAGUACCCCGAGGAAAAGAAAUCAACCGAGAUUCCCCCAGUAGCGGCGAGCGAACGGGGAGCAGCCCAGAGCCUGAAUCAGUGUGUGUGUUAGUGGAAGCGUCUGGAAAGGCGCGCGAUACAGGGUGACAGCCCCGUACACAAAAAUGCACAUGCUGUGAGCUCGAUGAGUAGGGCGGGACACGUGGUAUCCUGUCUGAAUAUGGGGGGACCAUCCUCCAAGGCUAAAUACUCCUGACUGACCGAUAGUGAACCAGUACCGUGAGGGAAAGGCGAAAAGAACCCCGGCGAGGGGAGUGAAAAAGAACCUGAAACCGUGUACGUACAAGCAGUGGGAGCACGCUUAGGCGUGUGACUGCGUACCUUUUGUAUAAUGGGUCAGCGACUUAUAUUCUGUAGCAAGGUUAACCGAAUAGGGGAGCCGAAGGGAAACCGAGUCUUAACUGGGCGUUAAGUUGCAGGGUAUAGACCCGAAACCCGGUGAUCUAGCCAUGGGCAGGUUGAAGGUUGGGUGACACUAACUGGAGGACCGAACCGACUAAUGUUGAAAAAUUAGCGGAUGGCUUGUGGCUGGGGGUGAAAGGCCAAUCAAACCGGGAGAUAGCUGGUUCUCCCCGAAAGCUAUUUAGGUAGCGCCUCGUGAAUUCAUCUCCGGGGGUAGAGCACUGUUUCGGCAAGGGGGUCAUCCCGACUUACCAACCCGAUGCAAACUGCGAAUACCGGAGAAUGUUAUCACGGGAGACACACGGCGGGUGCUAACGUCCGUCGUGAAGAGGGAAACAACCCAGACCGCCAGCUAAGGUCCCAAAGUCAUGGUUAAGUGGGAAACGAUGUGGGAAGGCCCAGACAGCCAGGAUGUUGGCUUAGAAGCAGCCAUCAUUUAAAGAAAGCGUAAUAGCUCACUGGUCGAGUCGGCCUGCGCGGAAGAUGUAACGGGGCUAAACCAUACACCGAAGCUGCGGCAGCGACGCUUAUGCGUUGUUGGGUAGGGGAGCGUUCUGUAAGCCUGUGAAGGUGUACUGUGAGGUAUGCUGGAGGUAUCAGAAGUGCGAAUGCUGACAUAAGUAACGAUAAAGCGGGUGAAAAGCCCGCUCGCCGGAAGACCAAGGGUUCCUGUCCAACGUUAAUCGGGGCAGGGUGAGUCGACCCCUAAGGCGAGGCCGAAAGGCGUAGUCGAUGGGAAACAGGUUAAUAUUCCUGUACUUGGUGUUACUGCGAAGGGGGGACGGAGAAGGCUAUGUUGGCCGGGCGACGGUUGUCCCGGUUUAAGCGUGUAGGCUGGUUUUCCAGGCAAAUCCGGAAAAUCAAGGCCGAGGCGUGAUGACGAGGCACUACGGUGCUGAAGCAACAAAUGCCCUGCUUCCAGGAAAAGCCUCUAAGCAUCAGGUAACAUCAAAUCGUACCCCAAACCGACACAGGUGGUCAGGUAGAGAAUACCAAGGCGCUUGAGAGAACUCGGGUGAAGGAACUAGGCAAAAUAGGUGCCGUAACUUCGGGAGGAAGGCACGCUGAUACGUAGGUGAAGCGACUUGCUCGUGGAGCUGAAAUACAGUCGGAGAUACCAGCUGGCUGCAACUGUUUAUUAAAAACAACAGCACUGUGCAAACACGAAAGUGGACGUAUACGGUGUGACGCCUGCCCGGUGCCGGAAGGUUAAUUGAUGGGGUUAGCGCAAGCGAAGCUCUUGAUCGAAGCCCCGGUAAACGGCGGCCGUAACUAUAACGGUCCUAAGGUAGCGAUUCCUUGUCGGGUAAGUUCCGACCUGCACGAAUGGCGUAAUGAUGGCCAGGCUGUCUCCACCCGAGACUCAGUGAAAUUGAACUCGCUGUGAAGAUGCAGUGUACCCGCGGCAAGACGGAAAGACCCCGUGAACCUUUACUAUAGCUUGACACUGAACAUUGAGCCUUGAUGUGUAGGAUAGGUGGGAGGCUUUGAAGUGUGGACGCCAGUCUGCAUGGAGCCGACCUUGAAAUACCACCCUUUAAUGUUUGAUGUUCUAACGUGGACCCGUGAUCCGGGUUGCGGACAGUGUCUGGUGGGUAGUUUGACUGGGGCGGUCUCCUCCUAAAGAGUAACGGAGGAGCACGAAGGUUGGCUAAUCCUGGUCGGACAUCAGGAGGUUAGUGCAAUGGCAUAAGCCAGCUUGACUGCGAGCGUGACGGCGCGAGCAGGUGCGAAAGCAGGUCAUAGUGAUCCGGUGGUUCUGAAUGGAAGGGCCAUCGCUCAACGGAUAAAAGGUACUCCGGGGAUAACAGGCUGAUACCGCCCAAGAGUUCAUAUCGACGGCGGUGUUUGGCACCUCGAUGUCGGCUCAUCACAUCCUGGGGCUGAAGUAGGUCCCAAGGGUAUGGCUGUUCGCCAUUUAAAGUGGUACGCGAGCUGGGUUUAGAACGUCGUGAGACAGUUCGGUCCCUAUCUGCCGUGGGCGCUGGAGAACUGAGGGGGGCUGCUCCUAGUACGAGAGGACCGGAGUGGACGCAUCACUGGUGUUCGGGUUGUCAUGCCAAUGGCACUGCCCGGUAGCUAAAUGCGGAAGAGAUAAGUGCUGAAAGCAUCUAAGCACGAAACUUGCCCCGAGAUGAGUUCUCCCUGACCCUUUAAGGGUCCUGAAGGAACGUUGAAGACGACGACGUUGAUAGGCCGGGUGUGUAAGCGCAGCGAUGCGUUGAGCUAACCGGUACUAAUGAACCGUGAGGCUUAACCUU